ensembl:lncRNA
AAAAAGUAGUUCAAUUCACAGUAAUGUUAUGUUGUAAUUACUGUACUUACGAAUUUAGCACCAAAAUAUCAUGAUAUAUUGAAACCAUUGACUACAAAAAUGGCUUGGAUUAUCCAGAGGCUUGGAUAAGCGAGGCUUGGAUAAGUGAGACUCUACUGUACUUUAUUUCCCAUACCACCAUACUUCGCCACAGCAACGUGUGGCCGGGCACAACCAGUUAGAUAUAUAGUCUCACAAAUAUUUCCAGUGAAUAUGCAGUGGAGGUGAAGGGACUAGAUUUAAUAAAUAGAGUCUAUCCCCUGCAUAGAGGGGAUAAAGAGAGAGGCUAUCCCGCCUUGCUUUGGAGAAAUGGGCAAGGCAAGAGCAAGGCUGGCGCCACCUGGUGGAACCGGGAAAGUGUGUCUUCCUGGGGAAAGACUCUCUCCGCGGAAAGACUCUCUCCGCCUUGUUCCUUCCCUGUUCCUUCCCAGAGAGAGGCAAGGGAAAGAGCAGAUUGGCCCGGUCCCUUCAUGUCGCCAGUCUGUGGCUCGGAAUGCCAGCUUGCCAAGGCGCUGGAGGCGGCCUUUCGUGGGCAAGGGGAGGAGACGCGUGGAGGCGGGCGAGCAGGCGGGCGGGCGCUCCCUGCCUGCUGUGCCGCCCCUUCCGUGAUGAUUCGCUCGCCCUGCCCGCCUGGCACGACGGCACUUGCCAGUGGAGUGUGUUCCCCUUCAGGAGCGGCGUGGAGACAACCCUGGCUUGGCGGGCAUCUCCCUCAUGGAUGGCUCGGAGAGUGGGAGCCCGGUGCCGCGCGGGACGGGAGGCGGCGUUUCCUCGCCAAGCUGUUUCCUGUGGCAUCCCAGGAUUUGUACCUUCCUCUGAAUUGCAAUAUGAGUUUCUAAAAUAGAACUUGAGUAUUUCUCAUAAGGAUUUCCAUUUCCUGAUGAUGAUCUCUUCAUGUCAUAUAUGCUGAUAGAGUGAG